ensembl:snoRNA
ACCCAAAGAGCUUCCCUCUCAAGGGGAUAGUUCAUAUACUCAGGAACGUGGCCCUUUGGGAAAAUAUCUGCCAUUCUUAAAGAUGUUGUGGGUGAGCAAAUGUGCUACGUUUGCUUUCCUUAUAAUUGUCUGUAUAC